rnacentral:rRNA from 1 species
UUUAAUUGAUUUCUUCGGAAUGAAGUUUUUGUGACUGAGUGGCGGACGGGUGAGUAACGCGUGGGUAACCUGCCUCAUACAGGGGGAUAACAGUUGGAAACGACUGCUAAUACCGCAUAAGCGCACAGGACCGCAUGGUCCGGUGUGAAAAACUCCGGUGGUAUGGGAUGGACCCGCGUCUGAUUAGCCAGUUGGCAGGGUAACGGCCUACCAAAGCGACGAUCAGUAGCCGACCUGAGAGGGUGAUCGGCCACAUUGGGACUGAGACACGGCCCAAACUCC